rnacentral:lncRNA from 1 species
CCUAGACCUACGAGAGUCUGCCCGUCUAUCCACUGUAUAUCCCCUCUACUGUAUAUCAACUGUAUAGCCACUGUACUGUAUAUCAACUGUAUAUCCACUGUACUGUAUAUCAACUGUAUAUCCACUGUACUGUAUAUCAACUGCAUAUCCAGUGUACUGUAUAUCAACUGUAUAGCCACUGUACUGUAUAUCAACUGUAUAUCCACUGUACUGUAUAUCAACUGUAUAUCCACUGUACUGUAUAUCAACUGUAUAUCCACUGUACUGUAUAUCAACUGUAUAUCCACUGUACUGUAUAUCAACUGCAUAUCCAGUGUACUGUAUAUCAACUGUAUAGCCACUGAACUGUAUAUCAACUGUAUAUCCACUGUACUAUAUAUCAACUGUAUAUCCACUGUACUGUAUAUCAACUGUAUAGCCACUGAACUGUAUAUCAACUGUAUAUCCACUGUACUGUAUAUCAACUGUAUAUCCACUGUACUGUAUAUCAACUGUAUAUCCACUGUACUGUAUAUCAACUGCAUAUCCAGUGUACUGUAUAUCAACUGUAUAGCCACUGAACUGUAUAUCAACUGUAUAUCCACUGUACUAUAUAUCAACUGUAUAUCCACUGUACUAUAUAUCAACUGUAUAUCCACUGUACUGUAUAUCAACUGCAUAGCCACUGUAUAUCAACGGUAUAUCCACUGUACUGUAUAUCAACUGCAUAUCCACUGUACUGUCUAUCAACUGCAUAGCCACUGUACUGUAUAUCAACUGUAUAUACACUGUACUAUAUAUCAACUGUAUAUCCACUGUACUGUAUAUCAACUGCAUAGCCACUGUAUAUCCACUGUACUGUAUAUCAACUGUAUAGCCACUGAACUGUAUUUCAACUGUUUAGCCACUGCAUAUCAACUGUAUAUCCACAGUAUAGUCACUGUACUGUAUAUCAACUGUACAGCCAACAUACUGGAAAUCAACUGUAUAGCCACUAUAUUGUAUAUCAACUGUACAGCCACUGUAUAUCCACUAUUUUAUUUAUUUUAUUUUUAUUUUACCUUUAUUUAA